rnacentral:rRNA from 1 species
UACGGAGGGUGCAAGCGUUGUCCGGAUUUAUUGGGUCUAAAGGGUGCGUAGGCGGUUUGUUAAGUCAGUGGUGAAAGACGGCAGCUCAACUGUCGCAGUGCCAUUGAUACUGGCGAACUUGAAUAUCGAUGAGGCUGGCGGAAUGGGUGGUGUAGCGGUGAAAUGCAUAGAUACCACCCAGAACUCCGAUUGCGAAGGCAGCCUACUGGAGGUUUACCGACGCUCAGGCACGAAAGCGUGGGGAUCAAACAGG